ACCUGACUGCUAUCGGAUUGGUACUAAGCCAUGUGAGUCAUUGUAGCAAUACAAGGCAUACGGCUCAGUAACACGUAGUCAAUCUGCCCUAUGGACGUGGAUAACCUCGGGAAACUGAGAAUAAUCCGCGAUAGAUCAUAAUGCCUGGAACGGUUUAUGGUCCAAAUGAUUCGUCGCCAUAGGAUGGGACUGCGGCCUAUCAGCUUGUUGGUGAGGUAAUGGCCCACCAAGGCUAUUACAGGUACGGGCUCUGAGAGGAGAAGCCCGGAGAUGGGUACUGAGACACGGACCCAGGCCCUAUGGGGCGCAGCAGGCGAGAAACCUUUGCAAUGUGCGCAAGCACGACAAGGUUAAUCCGAGUGUUUCCUGCUAAAGGAAUCUUUUGUUAGUUCUAAAACCACUGAUGAAUAAGGGGUGGGCAAGUCCUGGUGUCAGCCGCCGCGGUAAAACCAGCACCUCAAGUGGUCAGGAGGAUUAUUGGGCCUAAAGCAUCCGUAGCCGGUUCUGUAAGUUUCCGGUUAAAUCCACUAGCUCAACUAAUGGGCUGCCGGAAAUACUGCAGAACUAGGGAGUGGGAGAGGUAGACGGUACUCGGGAGGAAGGGGUAAAAUCCUUUGAUCUCUUGAUGACCACCUGUGGCGAAGGCGGUCUACCAGAACACGUUCGACGGUGAGGGAUGAAAGCUGGGGGAGCAAACCGGAUUAGAUACCCGGGUAGUCCCAGCUGUAAACGAUGCAGACUCGGUGAUGCACUGGCUUUUGGCCAGUGCAGUGCCGCAGGAAGCCGUUAAGUUUGCCGCCUGGGAAGUACGUACGCAAGUAUGAAACUUAAAGGAAUUGGCGGGGGAGCACACAAGGGUGAAGCCUGCGGUUCAAUUGGA
rnacentral:rRNA from 1 species